rnacentral:rRNA from 1 species
UACGAAGGGGGCGAGCGUUGUUCGGAUUUACUGGGCGUAAAGGGCGCGCAGGCGGCGAUUUUUGUCAGGCGUGAAAGCCCCGGGCUUAACCUGGGAAUGGGGCUUGGGACGGGAUCGCUAGAGAUCGGGAGAGGAGAGUGGAAUUCCCAGUGUAGAGGUGAAAUUCGUAGAUAUUGGGAAGAACACCGGUGGCGAAGGCGGCUCUCUGGACCGAGACUGACGCUGAGGCGCGAAAGCGUGGGGAGCAAACAG